CCCGCCGGCGACCGGCGCACGGGUGAGUAACGCGUAUGCAACUUACCUAUCAGAGGGGGAUAACCCGGCGAAAGUCGGACUAAUACCGCAUGAAGCAGGGGCCCCGCAUGGGGAUAUUUGCUAAAGAUUCAUCGCUGAUAGAUAGGCAUGCGUUCCAUUAGGCAGUUGGCGGGGUAACGGCCCACCAAACCGACGAUGGAUAGGGGUUCUGAGAGGAAGGUCCCCCACAUUGGUACUGAGACACGGACCAAACUCCUACGGGAGGCAGCAUG
rnacentral:rRNA from 1 species